rnacentral:lncRNA from 1 species
CCUUAUUCAAGAUACAUCAUGCAGAAAUCUACCACCACAGAUUGCUCUCGCAUGAUUGUUGUCGGACCUAGGGAUGCCGCUGACACUUACUCAAGCCAUAGACGUUGAUUUCAGGAGUAGAACUUGCCAGGCCAUCAGGUGUCUGUUUCAAGGUGUACGCCUGCAGUGUUGCAUGUGCUCAGUCACUCGAGUUGCAGUUAUGUUCCUCAAACCAAGAAAUUAUCCAAAUUACAAUUAUAAUGCACAAAUCAUCUCUGAAAUCCCAACCCAUAUUGUAAAGCUUGAAGGCUACACCUUUGAGAGCUUCAGCCAAAAAAGAAACAAAUAUCAGUAGUAGGUACAAAUAUUAAGAGACCUGAUGUAUUUGGAUUCUUUUAUUUGCAUGGAAGACAAUAAGCAGACAUCGGUGGCACCCAAGUAGCAAGGCAAGACAUAACCAGACACACAUUAACAUGUUAAUUGUUACAAUAUGUAAUUUAAGUAGAACGGAGCAAAGAGUAAUAGAUUCCUUGAAUUAUGAUCCAAGGUGACUUUUUCAUACUCCUUUUUUUUUAUAGUGUAGGUGUAAGAAGGAACUCUUAUAUAUUGAAGGUGGUUUUUCCCAGUCAACUCGUUGCAGUUUCAGUGGGUGGUGGCUUCCACUGUAACUCUGAACCUCUAUUUCCCUUUGGGGCAACUCCAAAUAUUUGAGUUUCACAACCGUUAAGUCAAUAGUAUGCAUGUCUUUUCAGCUAGCUUGUUAUUUCGGAUGUUACAAUACCUUCCCGCGUGAAUGAAAUGGUGCAUAGUGCAGGCAGGCAUAGAUGUACAACAAUAUGCCCUUCCUAACAAUAUCCACCCCAGUUUCUGAUUUCAUUUUUAUGCUCUAACUUAUCCUUGGGUAUAAAGGAAAAUUUUGUGACUGGGAAAAUGCACUACUAAGAACUAUCUGAGCAAAGAGUAACAGUUUAUACAUGUAGUUGUAACUAAUCUGACCUGAUAGCAGCAGAGAGGGCCAUCAAGAUCAUACCUUCCCAUGCUAUAAUUAGUAUUCCAAAGAAUGUAGAAUAAAAAGAGAAGCACACUAUAUUUAGUUAGCUCAGAAUGUUCUCAUCAAGUUGUGGUUCUGAACUUCUGAUUGUGAGCUCAGCAGUCAAGUACUCCCUCUUUAAAUUAAUAUAAGAGCGUUUAGAUUACUAAAAUAGUGAUCUAAACGCUCUUAUAUUAGUUUACGGAGGGAGUAAUAAGAGUAAGCAAGUAAUUAAGUACCAGAUACCAAGCGAAUGUACGACAAUCUACCCAUCUUGGACUUCGCUUGUCAGGACAAUGAUCAUGAAGAGGUAGAAAAUAUAAUUGCAGAGCAUGAUGAGAAACUCGAGCGACAGCUUGAGAAACACCCAUACCUAGAGAAGGGAAACUGUUUGAAAUGUUAAAAGUAAGGUGACGUCCCAACUCUAAGUAUAAUCCAUUUCAGUAAAUCUUGACCUUGCGGGAUGGUAUAUCUAACUUGGAAGAUACUCCACAGGCUGUAAACGUUGUUCUUCUCACUGU